rnacentral:rRNA from 1 species
AGUGAACGCUGGCGGUAGGCCUAACACAUGCAAGUCGAACGGCAACACAGUAAGAGCUUGCUCUUACGGGUGGCGAGUGGCGGACGGGUGAGGUAUACAUCGGAAUCUACUUUUUCGUGGGGGAUAACGUAGGGAAACUUACGCUAAUACCGCAUCCGACCUACGGGUGAAAGCAGGGGAUCUUCGGACCUUGCGCGAUUGAAUGAGCCGAUGUGGGAUUAGCUAGUUGGCGGGGUAAAGGCCCACCAAGGCGACGAUCCGUAGCUGGUCUGAGAGGAUGAUCAGCCACACUGGAACUGAGACACGGUCCAGACUCCUACGGGAGGCAGCAGUGGGGAAUAUUGGACAAUGGGCGCAAGCCUGAUCCAGCCAUACCGCGUGGGUGGAGAAGGCCUUCGGGUUGUAAAGCCCUUUUGUUGGGAAAGAAAAGCAGCAGGUUAAUACCCCGCUGUUUUGACGGUACCCAAAGAAUAAGCACCGGCUAACUUCGUG